UGCAACCCCCAGAAAUGUCCACACGAC
rnacentral:piRNA from 1 species